rnacentral:rRNA from 1 species
AUUGAACGCUGGCGGCAUGCCUUACACAUGCAAGUCGAACGGCAGCACGGGAGCAAUCCUGGUGGCGAGUGGCGAACGGGUGAGUAAUGUAUCGGAACGUACCUUUCAGUGGGGGAUAACGUAGCGAAAGUUACGCUAAUACCGCAUAUUCUGUGAGCAGGAAAGCAGGGGAUCGCAAGACCUUGCGCUGAUUGAGCGGCCGAUAUCAGAUUAGCUAGUUGGUGGGGUAAAGGCCUACCAAGGCGACGAUCUGUAGCGGGUCUGAGAGGAUGAUCCGCCACACUGGAACUGAGACACGGUCCAGACUCCUACGGGAGGCAGCAGUGGGGAAUUUUGGACAAUGGGCGCAAGCCUGAUCCAGCCAUGCCGCGUG